GACGAACGCUGGCGGCGUGCUUAACACAUGCAAGUCGAACGGAAAGGCCCUGCUUUUGUGGGGUGCUCGAGUGGCGAACGGGUGAGUAACACGUGAGUAACCUGCCCUUGAAUUUGGGAUAACUUCAGGAAAAUGGGGCUAAUACCGGAUAGGAGCUCCUGCUGCAUGGUGGGGGUUGGAAAGUUUCGGCGGUUGGGGUUGGUCUCGCGGCUUAUCAGCUGGUUGGUGGGGUAGUGGAUUAACAAGGCUUGCCGGGUAGCCGGCCUUGGAGGGGGACCGGCCACAUUGGGACUGCGAUACGGCCCAGUCUCCUACGGGAGGCAGCAGUGGGGAGUAUUGCACAAUGGGCGGAAGCCUGAUGCAGCAACGCCGCGUGCGGGAUGACGUCCUUCGGGUUGUAAACCGCUUUCGCCUGUGACGAAGCGUGAGUGACGGUAAUGGGUAAAGAAGCACCGGCUAACUACGUG
rnacentral:rRNA from 1 species